rnacentral:lncRNA from 10 species
AAGUUGUCUCUACAUUCUUCAAACCCUUACACAGGAACCCAGGAGAGUGAGCAUCUCUCUGCUUUAUUUCAGGGCUGAGCUCCAGAUUUCAGAGGUUUCUUUAUAAACAUCAGUAAUUUUUUGAGUUUGACAAGAUCACAGCAGUGCCAUGAAGCCAUCUGAAGCAUCGAGGCUCAGGUUACCUCUUUGGCAUGGCUCAAAUGCCUACAAGGACCAAUGAAACUGGAGCAACAAAUAUAAGCAAAACAACAGCGAGUGCAAGAGGACACAGCAAAUUAGAGAAUGCAUGCCC